rnacentral:rRNA from 1 species
CCUACGGGUGGCAGCAGUGAGGAAUAUUGGUCAAUGGGCGCGAGCCUGAACCAGCCAAGUAGCGUGAAGGAUGACUGCCCUACGGGUUGUAAACUUCUUUUAUACAGGAAUAAAGUGACUCACGUGUGCCUUUUUGUAUGUACCUUAUGAAUAAGGAUCGGCUAACUCCGUGCCAGCCGCCGCGGUAAUACGGAGGUGCCGGGCGUUAUCCGGCUUUAUUGGGUUUAAAGGGAGCGUAGGUGGGUUGUGAAGUCCGGUGUGAAAGUUUGCGGCUCAACCGUAAAAUUGCAAUGGAUACUGGCAGCCUGGAGUGCAGGUGAGGUAGGCGGAAUUCGUGGGGUAGCGGUGAAAUGCUUAGAGAUCACGAAGAACGCCGAUUGCGAAGGCAGCGUACUAAACUGACACUGACGUUGAUGCUCGAAAGUGUGGGUAUCAAACAGGAUUAGAUACCCGUGUAGUC